ensembl:lncRNA
GAAUAAGUGAAUCCCUCCUAAUGGAUAUUUCUGAAGGCUACUGGACAUAAGUGAUUGGGAAGCGACUGUUAGACGUAGAUUCUCAGAAGCAAACUGCGCCCUGUCCUUUACGUAGCCCUUCACGAUCACACAUUUUUUAGGCGUAAAUCCAAAUAAUCACAUACCCAAGAAUAUUUAUAUAUUAAAAAAAGAAAAGUGUGCACUCUGAACCACUUCGUAAGACAACAGGCAGCAGUCCCAGGACAGAUAACAUGUCUGUGAAGCCCUCCUAAUGGAUAUUUCGGGAGCUGAGGGGGACAACGAUUUAUAUAUUUAUUUUAUUUUAUUAGGUAUGAUGGACAUCGGACACAUAGGGUGACUUGGAUGCGUUAGGGACUCUGAACGACAUCGGAAGAACCGAUGAAACACUGACACAACGGGUGACUUGGAUGCAUUAGGGACUCUGAACGACAUCGGAGGAACCGAUGAAACAGACAGUAUUAUGUCUUUUUGUAUGAAAGGUCUACGAACGUUGGAACAUCUACAACUAUUGAAGAUGCAAAAAGGGGUUUUCAGAAAUACAUUGGGUUUGCAGAUAUGUAUUAUUAUAAAAAUAAUAUAACAUUAUUAUCAUAAUCUAAAACACUUUAAAGGAGCUCUAAUUCAAACAUGCAAGGAUAUAUAUAUAUAUAUAUAUAUAUAUAUAUAUAUAUAUAUAUAAUACGAUUACCCACUUUAAAACUGUUGCUGCAAUAUCACUUCUCAAUGUGUGUACAUUUCAAGCUUUCAACAACAAACCAACCAGCUCAAUGUUUCUCAGACUUACACACUGUUGAGUUUUCCUAGUUAGUAAAGAAACAACCACUAAGCCAAAACACAAAGUUGUAAUAUAAUCUGUAUACAAGUCAUUCUAUACGGAAAACAGGUACAUUUUGAUUGAUCAAGAAUUCCCAAUAGGUUUGUGUCACGCCCGGACCAUAGUUUGCUAUGUAUGUUUUUAGGUUUUGUUUGGUAUGGGUGUGAUCUGAGUGGGCAUUCGAUGCUGUAUGUCUAGUUUGUCUUUUUCUGUGUUGGGCCUGAGAUGAUUUUCCCCAUCAGAGGCCGGUGUUAGUCAUUGUCUCUGAUGGGGAACCAUAUUUAGGUAGCCUGUGUUGUCAUUGUUGGGUGAUUGUCUAUGUUAGGUGCUUGUGUCAGCACAUUUGAUAUAUAGCGUCACGGUCGUUGUUCAUUUAUUGGCUUGUUCAGUUUACUUUGUGUUUUCGUCAUCCAUUAAAACGAUGCAUUCACACCACGUAACGCUUUGGUCCGCUUCUUAUUACCCAUGACGAUCGUGACAGCUUGAUCUGAUCCUCAACCCUAUUACGACAGCAUAUAAUGCACAGUCAUAUGCAAAACCAUAAAACUCUGACAAGAAAACAAUGAAAACCUUAACACGACUACACGCAUUGCCAUUAUUUUAGUUAACAGCCACCCAUGGUUGAAUUUGGUACUUUUUCUUUGUACAUGCACCAAGCCUCCAAGGGGGGUGACAACCGUAUUCCUAAUGAGAAAUAUAGUCUAAUAAAACAAAAUGUCUGCAUAAUGAAAGACAUGACGAUGAAAUGUAUAUGUUGUGCAAAGCAUUUUGGAUUCUCAGUCCACAGAAUGGAACACCUAUCAAUUAACCAUGAAAACGGGCGUUACCCCUGAUAUACACUAUUGUGUUCUAUGUUGGUAGGUCUAAUAAACAAAAAUAUUGUAUACAUUGAUAAUAUUAUUUUGUCAGAAAUUCAAGCCGUUGAUACAGUUGUGUACUCUAUCGCCCGCCCUGCUGAUCGUGCUCUAUCUGAACUACAUUAUGCAAAUUAUU